GAUGAACGCUAGCUGGAGGCUUAAUACAUGCAAGUCGAGCGGGGUUGGUAGCAAUACCAUGAGAGCGGCGCACGGGUGAGUAACGCGUACACGACCUACCUCUGACAGGGGGAUAGCCCUGGGAAACUGGGAUUAAUACCGCAUAUUAUUAUGAUUAAUAAAGGAGUGGAAUGAAAGUCCAGGAGGUCAGAGAUGGGUGUGCGUCUGAAUGGCUGGUUGGUGGGGUAACGGCCUACCGAGGCGAUGAUCAGUAGGGGGCGUGAGAGCGUGGUCCCCCACACGGGUACUGAGACACGGACCCGACUCCUACGGGAGGCAGCAGUAAGGAAUAUUGGACAAUGGCCGCAAGGCUGAUCCAGCCAUCCAGCGUGCAGGAAGAAGGCCCUAUGGGUUGUAAACUGCUUUUAUCAGGGAAGAAACCUCUGGAUUUACUCCGGAGCUGACGGUACCUGAAGAAUAAGCACCGGCUAACUCCGUGCCAGCCGCCGCCGUAAUAC
rnacentral:rRNA from 1 species